rnacentral:lncRNA from 1 species
UGUGUAUGUGGAUGAUAUCAUCAUCACAGGCAGUGAUAAGGAAGGUAUUAAGGCUACAAAGGAGUAUCUCAAGGCAAGCUUUGAAAUUAAAGACUUGGGGGAAAUGAAGUAUUUUCUUGGGAUUGAGAUAUGCAGAUCAAAGGAAGGAUUGUUUAUGUCCCAAAGGAAGUAUGUGAUUGAUCUCUUGAAGGGAGCAGAUGCAUAUGGAGGAAAGACAGCCAAGAUGCCAAUGGAGGAUGGUUACAAGGUUCCACGUGAGGGGGAGAUUGAGGAUAGCAAGCCGUUCCAUGAUCCUAAGCUAUAUAGGAAGCUGGUGGGGAAAUUGAUUUAUCUUACCAUUACUAGACCUGAUGUGUGUUUUGCGGUGAAUCAAGUCAGUCAACACAUGCAAGUUCCUAAGGAGCACCAUUGGCGGAUGAUGGAAAGGAUCUUGAUGUAUCUGAAUGGAACUACUGGUCUUGGAGUAUGGAUGGGAUGUAACAAGAGUACUGAGGUUGUAGGCUACUGUGAUGCAGAUUGGGCUGGAGACCGAGCAGACAGAAGAUCAACCACAGGCUAUUGUACAUUCAUUGGUGGUAACUUAGUCACUUGGAAGAGUAAGAAACAGAAGGUAGUGUCUUGCUCCAGUGCAGAGGCCGAGUAUAGAGCAAUGCUGAAGCUUACAAAUGAGCUAGUGUGGAUAAAAGGGAUUUUGAAGCAUCUAGAGAUUAUUCAAGCAACGCCAAUGACAAUGCAUUGUGAUAAUCAAGCAGCUAUCCACAUUGCAUCUAAUUCUGUGUUCCAUGAGAGAACAAAGCACAUUGAGGUUGAUUGUCACAAGGUGAGGCAGAUGAUGAUUCUUGGAGUGAUUCUACCUUGUUAUACUCGGAGUGAGGAUCAGUUAGCAGAUGUGUUCACAAAGGCAGCAAGGCAAAAGACAAUGGAGUCCAUACACAUCAGGUUAGGACUCAUUGAUCUCUCGCCUAAGGACUAGUCUAUACACUCUCCUGAUCAUGUGAUCUCUACUCUUUCCUCAUUAAGGUUUUGUCCCAAUGGGUUGUCCUUAAUGAGGUUUUAAUGAGGGAGAUCUCAUGGUUCUUCCAAGCUUGACUUGUUUCACAUGGUCAAGCUUGAGGGGGAGUGUUGAGAUAAGAGAAUAAAGUGUUGAGAUGAGGAGAUGAAGAGUUGAUACAUGGAUAGAGGAAGGGAUUUGGAGCAGGUAGUAACUUUGGAGAUUUACCACAGUAACUUUAAUGUUACUGUGGUAACUAAGUUAAAAGACUUGGGAAGUUACCCUGCAUCCAUUUGGAGAGUGUAACACGACAGGAGGAGUCUGGAUAAGCAAGGAGGAGUUUGGAUAAGGUCUGGUCAAGGGAAGAGAGCUUUAGACAGGCUGGCACCAGCUGGAAAGCUAAAGCAAGAUACCCAAGCAUGUGAGGAACCUUAUUGGCUGGUUUGAAUAAGGCAUCUUUGACUACACAUGCUUCUUAUCCUAACUAGACUGAACCUGGACGAAAAUAUGUAUCUCUAAUCUAUAUAUGUUGUAAACUCUCUCAUUAAUCAAGCUAAUGGAGUUUUGAGUCUCUCUCUCUCUCUUGUUCUUAAUCUCCAAUCUCUUUAAUUCUCAGAUUAAACUUAAUCACUCUUUAAAUCACUAAAUCUAUUAUGGUAUCAGAGCCAGGUUCCUUUAAAAGGAGAGAGUGAUUUCGUGGUUCCAAAUGUUCUUGAGUGUUCUUGAGUGUUCUUGAGAGUUCUUGAGAUUUUUCAAGAGCUAGAUCCUUUAAAAGUCAAGUUUGUGUCUGUUGGUGUUUCUUUUGGAGAGUCAGCUUCAAGGGAGUCUCUUUAGGUGUUUGACAAGGUCAGAAGAGGGGUCUAGCUUGUGGUUAAGAUUGGCGUGUGAGAUUAUGGAGCUGCUUCAAUCUGGUACAACAAGGAGUGAAGAGAAGAAAGAGAGAGGGAAUGAGUGGGGGUGGUUCUCACAGAUGAAAACAACUCUGAAAAGUUGUGGAGUUUGGAGAAACCAUGAGAAGGAAGAGUCUUUGAAGGGUAAAGCUGCUGUGAAAGAUCAGACAGCAAGAAAAACAAGUGGAGAUUGCUUCAGUCUUGAAGACAGUACACUGCUUGAGAAGAUUGAAGAUGUUUAUGAGGACAAGAUCAGUCUUAGGAGAGUGUAUGAAGUCAACCAGGUGAUUAGUGAAGUUAAACCAGGAAGAGAAGGGUUUAAUAACCAUGUGAGGAAGCUACAACAUUUGUGGGUUGAACUACAAGGGUUGAGAUCUCAUGUGGAUGGGGAUACUACACAAGAGCAAGCGACGGUGCUGAAGCUCUUGGCGAGUAUGGAGUCAUCAUAUGGGUGGCUGGUGGAGAUGGUUCUAAGAAGGGAACAGCUUCCGGAAAUGGAAGAGGUCUGUGUGCUUAUAAGAAGGGCGUAUGGGAUAAUGAGAGAUGAUGAGAGGCUAACCAUGAGUAGGAGUGAGAGCUCAUGGAAGCCAACUGGGAGUAGGAGUGAGAGCUUCCAGAAGCUAACCAUGAGUAGGAGUGAGAGCUCAUGGAAGCCAACUGGGAGUAGGAGUGAGAGCUUCCAGAAGCUAACCAUGAGUAGGAGUGAGAGCUCAUGGAGGCUAACCGGGAGUAGGAGUGAGGGCUUCCGGAAGAGGAGGAGGUGCAGAAUGCUAUCCAAAGCCUCUAUCAACAUAGGAAAGGGUAGAAAGAGAGUUGUGGGAGAGUGUUCUUACUCAGCCUACAUGGGGAAAUCAGUAGAAGACAGUGGGGUGUUAAAAGAGCAGGAGAAAGGGAGUAGAGCUGAUGAUCGCAUCACCAGGAAAGAAUGGAGAGUGUUCAUGGAACAAGUACAAGCCUUAGCAGCAAGCAGGAAGCAGGCUAUACAAUCCGGAACUUCUAAACCAAUUGUGAUUGAUUCUGGAGCAAGUCAUCAUAUGAUCAGUGAUAGGAGACUUAUAAGUGAGAUCAAGGCUGCAACAGGGAGUGUUAUGAUAGCUAAUGGUGCCAUGAUCCCAAUAGAAGGAGUGGGAAAGCUAAAACUGUUUGAGAAGGACACAACUGCCUUCUACAUGCCUCAGUUCACUUCAAAUCUAUUAUCUGGGAAGAAAGCUACCAUUGAUCUUGAUUGUCAAGUAGUAUUCAGACCUGAUAAAGUGGAGUUUCAAGAUUUGAAGACUGGGAGAGUCAUUGGCAGAGGAGACAGCAAGAAUCAGCUAUAUCACCUCAACUUGGCUAAGACCUCUAAUCCCUUUGAUUCUAUUUGCUUGAGUAGUACUGCUGAGAAGAUUGAUAGUAUUACUUGGCAUGCUAGAUUAGGACAUCCUCAUGCUCGUGCCAUUGAAUUGAUAAUCCCUAAUAUGUCAUUCAAUCACUUGAAUUGUGAGGCAUGCAUAUUAGGAAAGCAUUGUAGGACUGUUUUUCCAACAUCUGAGACUACUUAUGAGCAUUGCUUUGAUCUAGUUCACUCGGAUGUGUGGACCGCUCCAUGCAUGUCUAGAGACUGCCAUAAAUACUUUGUGACAUUCAUUGAUGAGAAGUCUAAGUAUACGUGGCUCACAUUGCUUCCAUCUAAAGAUAGGGUGCUAGAAGCUUUUAUGAACUUCCAAGCAUAUGUAUCUAAUCAAUACAAUGCCACUGUGAAGGUACUGAGAUCAGACAACGGAGGUGAAUACAUCAGCAAUGCCUUUAAGAGUCAUCUAGCCAAGCAUGGGAUUGUGCAUCAGACCAGUUGUCCCUACACACCACAGCAGAAUGGUGUAGCUGAGAGGAAGAAUAGGCACUUGAUGGAGGUUGCUAGGUCGAUGAUGUUUCAUGAAAAUGUCCAAAAACGUUUUUGGGGAGAUGCUGUACAGACUGCUUGCUAUCUCAUCAACCGAGUCCCAACCAAGAUACUGAAGAAUCUGUCCCCAUUUGAGGUGCUGAAUAAGAGCAAGCCAUUUAUUGAUCACCUACGAGUAUUUGGAUGUGUAUGCUAUGUCAUGACCCCAGGAGAACAGAGAAACAAGCUGGAGGCAAAGAGUACUAAGGCUAUGUUCAUUGGAUACUCUAUCACUCAGAAGGGAUACAAGUGCUAUGAUCCUGAAGCAAGGAGAGUGAUGGUAUCUAGAGAAGUGAAGUUUAUUGAAUCAAAAGGGUAUUAUGAAGAAAAGGAGUGGGAAAAUCUGAAGGAUUUGUCUCAAGCUCCAUCUGAUAGAGCAACAACACUGAGGGUGAUGUUGGAGAAGCUAGGGAUAGGGUUAUCCCAGGAUCAGGAAUCUGGAAGAAGAGAGUCUUCCAAUUCGACUAGUGAAGCUGAAAGAGCAACUCCUCUUGAUCAUGAGAGGGGGAAUGGAACUGAAUCUCAUGAGCAAGUGCAAAAUCAAGAAGAUUCAGGCCAGCAUAAUCAAGAGGUGACACAGGAAGUAGAGACUGGUGCUCAGUCUAGUGGAGAUGGGCAAAGAGAGUCUACUGGCUCAGAUGAGAGUGGAGAGUGGGAAGGAGAUCCUAAUGGUUCAAAUGAGAGUGGUGCUCAAUCAAGUGAAGAUGGGCAAGAGCCACAAGAAGAACAAGUUCAGGAGCUAAGGAGGAGCACAAGGGUGAAGAGAGAUGCUUCCAACUGGGUAAACACGAGAGUGUACUACAAUGCCCAGGCUGUGGAGCAUCCUUCUCAAGCCAUGUGUUCCUUUGCAGAGUUUCCAGACGAGCAUACAGCCUUCACAGUAAGCUUGGAUGAGAGCUAUAUUCCAAGGACAUAUGAAGAAGCUAUGGCUUUAAAGGAGUGGAGAGAUUCAGUUGCUGAUGAGUCCGGAGCCAUGAUUAAGAAUGAAACAUGGUAUGAGAGUGAGCUGCCUAAAGGGAAGAAGGCAGUGACUAGUAAAUGGGUGUUCACAAUCAAGUUUCAUCCUGAUGGAAGAAUAGAGAGGCGCAAGUCUAGGUUGGUGGCAAGAGGAUUUACUCAGACAUAUGGUGAGGACUAUGUUGAGACCUUUGCUCCUGUGGCUAAACUUCAUACUAUCAGGAUUGUAUUAUCUUUAGCUGUGAAUCUUGAGUGGGAUUUGUGGCAAAUGGAUGUGAAGAAUGCAUUCCUUCAAGGAGAGUUAGAAGAUGAAGUAUACAUGCAUCCACCACCAGGUCUUGAACAUCUAGUAAAGAAGGGUAAUGUGUUGAGGUUGAGGAAAGCUAUCUAUGGUCUCAAGCAGUCUCCAAGGGCAUGGUACAACAAGUUGAGUACUACACUGAAUGGGAGAGGGUUCAGAAAGUCAGAAUUGGAUCACACUCUCUUUACCCUAACCACCUCAUCUGGUAUUGUGGUAUUGCUUGUGUAUGUGGAUGAUAUCAUCAUCACAGGCAGUGAUAAGGAAGGUAUUAAGGCUACAAAGGAGUAUCUCAAGGCAAGCUUUGAAAUUAAAGACUUGGGGGAAAUGAAGUAUUUUCUUGGGAUUGAGAUAUGCAGAUCAAAGGAAGGAUUGUUUAUGUCCCAAAGGAAGUAUGUGAUUGAUCUCUUGAAGGGAGCAGAUGCAUAUGGAGGAAAGACAGCCAAGAUGCCAAUGGAGGAUGGUUACAAGGUUCCACGUGAGGGGGAGAUUGAGGAUAGCAAGCCGUUCCAUGAUCCUAAGCUAUAUAGGAAGCUGGUGGGGAAAUUGAUUUAUCUUACCAUUACUAGACCUGAUGUGUGUUUUGCGGUGAAUCAAGUCAGUCAACACAUGCAAGUUCCUAAGGAGCACCAUUGGCGGAUGAUGGAAAGGAUCUUGAUGUAUC